rnacentral:rRNA from 1 species
CUUUUAUUAUGUUGGUGUAUAUCUGGUUUAAUAUUAUUGUUGAAUAAUAUAAGUUUGUGUAAUUUUAUUAGUUAAGCCAAGUCUAUGUGCUGCUUAUAGAAGUAUUCAUGCGUUACUUUAAUAAAGUUUUAGUUGUAAGUACUAUCAUAUUCAGGACUUAAAAGUAAUGUUAAAUUAGUUUGUUAAUGUGAAAUAAGUUUAGCUCAUGUACACACC